CAGCCGCCACGGUAAGACAGAGGAUGCAAGCGUUAUCCGGAAUGAUUGGGCGUAAAGCGCACGUAGGCGGACUGGAAAGUCAGAGGUGAAAUCCCGGGGCUCAACCUUGGAACUACCUUUGAAGCUAUCAGUCUGGAGUUCGAGAGAGGUGAGUGGAAUUCCGAGUGUAGAGGUGAAAUUCGUAGAUAUUCGGAGGAACACCAGUGGCGAAGGCGGCUCACUGGCUCGAUACUGACGCUGAGGUGCGAAAGCGUGGGGAGCAAACAGGAUUAGAUACCCGCGUAGUCCCUGUCUCUUAUCC
rnacentral:rRNA from 1 species